rnacentral:lncRNA from 12 species
AUCAGUUUCAAUUAAAACAAGCCACAGAGGAAGAGUGCUGCUGCCGUGUUGGCUGUGGAUCCUCAUUACUCUCACAAGCAGUGCUUAACUUUGUGAUGGGAAAUGGAAUGGAGGUAAGAAAUAAAGGUAGAGUCUUC